UUAUGCUCCACACCUGUGGAACAAGCUUCCUGAACACCUGAGGUGUGCACAGACUGUAAGCGCAUUUAAAUCAGGCCUAAAAACACUGUUGUUUACUAUAGCUUGUCCAUAACCCGACAUGCAGGCAGUCAACUGCUACUUCGAGGCAAUCGAGACUCCCGAUGUUGAAGUGGGUGAUGGAAGAUCGCGCAGUCGAUUUUAAACCGCGGCAAGCGAUGAAAGGCCCUGCGAACAGGCCGAUUCACGCCUUACGAUUCGGAGCGGACGAAGCAGCUGUUGCUGGAGCUCCCGAAAAUUGGUCGCCAACCAGGGAUCAGCAAGUUCCAGAUGUUGCAGUCCACAGGGCCCAUGGCUGAAGCCUCCAAAGUCGAGUCGCAGCUGCAUCGCAGCAUACCCUCCGAAGUCAGCCAGCUCCGCAAUGAUAUCUCAUCAUAAUUGUCUGAUUCAUUUCCCCCGCUUAGAAGCCAAUUGCAUUGAGGUUUCAUUGCAUCAAAAGCGACAUCCAGGAAUCAUGUUACCAAGGCAACCUCAUAUACAUCAUGGAAUAGUUUUGCUUCUGAUAAAGAGCCUUCACUGUGAUGAUUCCCUGUAAUCAGCAAUGGACUACUGUUGACUCUUUCUAUUCUGCAACUUGUUAUGCAGGCAACCCCUAAAUUAUUGGGGGGGGG